AUGGUAAAGCUGAGCAAAGAGACCAAGCAGAGGCUGCCACAGCUCUUCAAAAGCAGCCAGUUUGUCAUUUGCUGGAGCUUUAUUCCUCUUGUGAUUUACCUGGGAUUUAAGAGUGGUACAGAUCCUAGAAUGCCUGAACCAACUGUUUUGGGUCUACUUUGGGGAUAAAGGACUAUUGAUCAUAUGGAUUUGGAAGCAAUCAGUAAACAGAAGAAACAGCAUGGAAAGUGUGUGCUCUGGCUCUGUAAGAGAUGGGACAUCAUU